rnacentral:rRNA from 1 species
UACGGAAUAGGGCGUUGAAGGGCGUAGGCUAUGAUGAUGCCAGGCAAAUCCGGCGUUUGAGCUGAAACCCGAAAGUACGGGGUCCCCUUCGGGGGAACCUGAGAGCGAGGGUAAGCAUACUCCCGAGAAAAUGGGCUAAACUCAUGUUGGCGGUACCCGUACCGCAAACCGACACAGGUAGUUGGGUAGAACAUACUAAGGCGUUGAGAGAUUCAUGGCUAAGGAACUAGGCAAACUGACCCCGUAACUUCGGGAUAAGGGGUCCUCACCUCCGGGUGAGGCGCAGAGAAUAGGUCCAGGCAACUGUUUAACAAAAACACAGGGCUGUGCGAACUCGAAAGAUGAAGUAUACAGCCUGACACCUGCCCGGUGCCGGAAGGUUAAGAGGAGAUGUCACCGCAAGGGAAGCAUUGAAUUGAAGCCCCGGUAAACGGCGGCCGUAACAAUAACGGUCCUAAGGUAGCGAAAUUCCUUGUCGGGUAAGUUCCGACCUGCACGAAUGGUGUAAUGAUCCGGACGCUGUCUCGGCCAUGAGCUCAGUGAAAUUGUAGUAUCGGUGAAGAUGCCGAUUACCCGCGAUGGGACGAAAAGACCCCGUGAACCUUUACUACAGCUUAGCAUUGACCUUGGUCAUCCGAUGUGUAGGAUAGGCCGGAGGCUUCGAAGCGGUGUCGCCAGGCGUUGUGGAGCCAUCCUUGAAAUACGGCCCUUUGGCUGUCUGAGGUCUAACGCGGAUAGUCGCGGACACUGCUUGGUGGGUAGUUUGACUGGGGUGGUCGCCUCCAAAAGCGUAACGGAGGCUUCCAAAGGUGCCCUCGGGCCGUUUGGUAAGCGGCCUUCAAGAGUGCAAUGGCAAAAGGGCGCUUAACUGGGAGGGAGACAUCCCGAGCAGGCAGGAAACUGGGGCAUAGUGAUCCGGCGGAUGUGUAUGGAAACUCCGUCGCUCAAAGGAUAAAAGGUACUCCGGGGAUAACAGGCUGAUCCCCCCCAAGAGCUCAUAUCGACGGGGUGGUUUGGCACCUCGAUGUCGGCUCGUCACAUCCUGGGGCUGGAGAAGGUCCCAAGGGUUGGGCUGUUCGCCCAUUAAAGUGGCACGCGAGCUGGGUUCAGAACGUCGUGAGACAGUUCGGUCUCUAUCUAUCGUGGGCGCAGGAGUUUUGAGUGGUGCUGUCACUAGUACGAGAGGACCGUGACGGACAGACCUCCGGUGUACCGGUUGUGCCGCCAGGCGCACCGCCGGGUAUCCGCGUCUGGAUCGGAUAAGCGCUGAAAGCAUCUAAGUGCGAAGCUUUCCACGAGAUUAGAACUCCAUUGAGGGUCGUCGCAGGCGACGACGUUGAUAGGGCGCAGGUGUAAAGACGGCGACGUCAAAGCCGAGCGCUACUAAUUGCCC